rnacentral:rRNA from 1 species
GCUGGCGGCGUGCUUAACACAUGCAAGUCGAGUGCGCGCCUGUAGCAAUACAGGUGGCGCACGGCGCACGGGUGCGUAACACGUGGGUAACCUGCCCUUUAGUGGGGAAUAACCUCGCGAAAGCGAGGCUAAUUCCGCAUAAGAUCCGCAAGGAUGAAAGCCGUAAGGCGCUGAUGGAGGGGCCCGCGCACGAUUAGCUAGUUGGUAGGGUAAUGGCCUACCAAGGCUAUGAUCGUUAGCUGGUCUGAGAGGAUGGCCAGCCACACUGGAACUGAGACACGGUCCAGACUCCUACGGGAGGCAGCAGUGGGGAAUCUUGCACAAUGGGCGAAAGCCUGAUGCAGCGACGCCGCGUGGGGGAUGAAGCUUCUCGGAGUGUAAACCCCUUUCGACCCGGACGAAUACCUCGCAAGAGGGGUGACGGUACGGGUAUAAGAAGCCCCGGCUAACUACGUGCCAGCAGCCGCGGUAAGACGUAGGGGGCCAGCGUUGUUCGGAAUUACUGGGUGUAAAGGGUUCGUA